rnacentral:rRNA from 1 species
AGAUUGAACGCUGGCGGCAGGCCUAACACAUGCAAGUCGAGCGGCAGCACGGGUACUUGUACCUGGUGGCGAGCGGCGGACGGGUGAGUAAUGCCUAGGAAUCUGCCUGGUAGUGGGGGAUAACGCUCGGAAACGGACGCUAAUACCGCAUACGUCCUACGGGAGAAAGCAGGGGACCUUCGGGCCUUGCGCUAUCAGAUGAGCCUAGGUCGGAUUAGCUAGUUGGUGAGGUAAUGGCUCACCGAAGGCGACGAUCCGUAACUGGUCUGAGAGGAUGAUCAGUCACACUGGAACUGAGACACGGUCCAGACUCCGUACGGGAGCAG